rfam:Schistosoma mattheei strain Denwood, Zambia genome assembly, scaffold: SMTD_scaffold0009420
AUCCAGCUGACGAGUCCUUAGCAGGACGAAACGCGCGUCCUGGAU